rnacentral:rRNA from 1 species
AAUAUAUGACAAUGGGCGAAAGCCCGAUCCAGCCAUGCCGCGUGUGUGAAGAACGUCUUCGGAUUGUAAAGCACUCUACGUUGGGAGGAAGGGCAGUAAGUGAUUAUCCUGCUGUUUUGACGUUACCGACACAAUACGCACCGGCUAACCUUGUGCCAGCAGCCGCCGUAAUACGAAGGGUGCAAGCGUUAAUCGGAAUUACUGGGUGUAAAGCGCGCGUAGGUGGUUUGUUAAGUUGGAAGUGAAAGCCCCGGGCUCAACCUGGGAACUGCUUUCAAAACUGGCAGGCUAGAGUAUGGCAGAGGGUGGUGGAAUUUCCUGUGUAGCGGUGAAAUGCGUAGAUAUAGGAAGGAACACCAGUGGCGAAGGCGACCACCUGGGCUAAUACUGACACUGAGGUGCGAAAGCGUGGGGAGCAAACA